AGGACGAACGCUGGCGGCGUGCUUAACACAUGCAAGUCGAGCGGAAAGGCCCUUCGGGGUACUCGAGCGGCGAACGGGUGAGUAACACGUGAGCAACCUGCCCCUGGCUCUGGGAUAGCCUCCGGAAACGGGGAUUAAUACCGGAUAUUCACUGUCUCCUGCAUGGGGGGUGGUGGAAAGUUUUUCGGCUAGGGUGGGCUCGCGGCCUAUCAGCUUGUUGGGGGGGUACGGCCCACAAGGCGACGACGGGUA
rnacentral:rRNA from 1 species